rnacentral:rRNA from 1 species
GACGAACGCUGGCGGUGUGCUUAACACAUGCCAGUCGAACGGUAAGGCCCUUUCGGGGGUACACGAGUGGCGAACGGGUGAGUAACACGUGAGUAACCUGCCCUCAUCUCUGGGAUAACAGUCGGAAACGGUUGCUAAUACUGGAUAUGAGCUUGCAAGGCAUCUUGUGGGCUGGAAAGAUUUUUUUUGGUUGGGGAUGGACUCGCGGCCUAUCAGCUUGUUGGUGAGGUAGUGGCUCACCAAGGCUUCGACGGGUAGCCGGCCUGAGAGGGCGACCGGCCACAUUGGGACUGAGAUACGGCCCAAACUCCUACGGGAGGCAGCAGUGGGGAAUAUUGCACAAUGGACGGAAGUCUGAUGCAGCAACGCCGCGUGCGGGAUGACGGCCUUCGGGUUGUAAACCGCUUUCAAUUGUGACGAAGCUUUUUUGUGACGGUAGCAGUAGAAGAAGCACCGGCUAACUACGUG